UAAGCAACAAAAAACUGAUUUAACUAAAAUACAAUAAUCUACAAACCAAAUUAAAGAACAUAAGUUAUAAUAUUGUUUUGACGUGAUACAUAUAUUAUAAAUUAUUUGCCAAAACUCAGCUGUUUUUUUCCCAUUAAAUAUAAGACAAAUACAUAAAUUAAAUACACUUUAUUACAAAACUAGAAUAAAUAAUAGUAAAAUUUUCACUUGUGGUGUUGAUAUCCGGAGCUACAUAGAUGUUUCCUUGUCCCUGCACAAAAAAAAAGGCCAAAAGGAAAAUUCAAUAUAUAGUAUUGGA
rnacentral:lncRNA from 1 species